rnacentral:rRNA from 1 species
UACGUAGGGUGCGAGCGUUGUCCGGAAUUAUUGGGCGUAAAGAGCUUGUAGGCGGUCUGUCGCGUCUGCUGUGAAAAUCCGGGGCUCAACCCCGGACUUGCAGUGGGUACGGGCAGACUAGAGUGUGGUAGGGGAGACUGGAAUUCCUGGUGUAGCGGUGAAAUGCGCAGAUAUCAGGAGGAACACCGGUGGCGAAGGCGGAUCUCUGGGCCGUAACUGACGCUGAGGAGCGAAAGCAUGGGGAGUGAACAGG